rnacentral:rRNA from 1 species
GCCAGACUCCUACGGGAGGCAGCAGUGAGGAAUAUUGGUCAAUGGCCGUAAGGCUGAACCAGCCAAGUCGCGUGAAGGAAGAAGGAUCUAUGGUUUGUAAACUUCUUUUAUAGGGGAAUAAAGGUAUCCACGUGUGGAUAUUUGCAUGUACCCUAUGAAUAAGCAUCGGCUAACUCCGUGCCAGCAGCCGCGGUAAUACGGAGGAUGCGAGCGUUAUCCGGAUUUAUUGGGUUUAAAGGGUGCGUAGACGGGAAGGCAAGUUGGUUGUGAAAUCCCUCGGCUUAACUGAGGAACUGCAACCAAAACUAUCUUUCUUGAGUGCUGGAGAGGAAAGUGGAAUUCCUAGUGUAGCGGUGAAAUGCGUAGAUAUUAGGAGGAACACCAGUGGCGAAGGCGACUUUCUGGACAGUAACUGACGUUGAGGCACGAAAGUGUGGGGAGCAAACAGGAUUAGGUACCCGUGUA